ensembl:ncRNA lncRNA:CR44232 long non-coding RNA:CR44232
AGUGGCUCUCGGAGGCAAAGUCUUGGCGCUACGAAGUGCCCACGGCAUGACGGUCACAUUGUUGGCAUCAGCCAUUGUUGACAGCCAAAGCCGCCGUCACACUUGCCACAGCAACAAUAACAACAAAUGCAGCGGCAAGAACAACAACAAGUUAGGAGCAACAGCCAUGCAACGCCAACAACACAGCAGCAAUGCCGACCAGGAUAGACACAGAAACAGAAGAAGGGGGUCUGCUGCAAAUGCAUCCCCUUUGCCAACAUGGGAAAGUGACGGGGGAAGUCAAGGGCAGCUUCUGGAGUUCUUGUGAGGGGCCUAAUACUUAAAGUUCUGAAGCUUAAACUUAUUUAAACACAAUGGCCUUGUACAAAGAAAUGAAUGAAUGAAUUGCACGGUGAUUUGAUUCUAAGCAACAGCAAUUUAAAG